GUUUUCUGUCAGCAGCGUGGUCUUGUGGCAGAUAGCCACCAGACUGCCCUCGAGGCAGGAAAAGUCCCCUAAGUUGAGAGGUGUGGUUGGUAGGAGCUGAGGUCAGGCAAGGAGAGACAGAGCAGGAUCUCCUUUAGCUUACAACUCCAGCAAAGGAACGAAAGACCAUGUUUGGGGAGAGGAUGCCAGGGCAGCAAGUAGAAGAAGAGAGACCUUCAAGCCUUCUACUUACCAAUUCUGUCCAGCCUGUCAAGAGCCACCGUUUCAAAAGCUCGUCGCAUCAUGGGAUACUCUUCCAGCACCUCAUUGAAGUUGUCCACUGAGAGGGAGUAGAGCCGGCAGUAGGUAUCAGCUCGCACGCUGGCUGUGCGCCGGCCACGAGUCAGCAGACAGAUUUCUGGAAUGAAAGACCCAGCCUGAGAACACGGGGACAGAAACUAUCAACCCCCACGUAUCAACCCCAAAGCUUGCCACUGCUGCUCAGCAGUCCUGCCUGCCACCCAGUCCCCUCUCAAAGGUGGACUCUACCAGCUUUCCCAUUGCUGAAAGCAGGAACAGUAGGAACGUUCUCCAUAUGUAGUAACAUUUAAGCAAUAAAAUACCAGGGGGCUCAGUUGUGGCAGCUGCUACAUACAACUGCACCUCAGGGAUUCUGCUGAUCUAAU